UGAUAGCUCAGUUGGUAGAGCGGUGGACUGUAACGGCCAUAGAAUAUCCAUCGGUCAUGAGUUUAAAUCUCAUUC
rnacentral:ncRNA from 11 species